UACGGAGGGUGCAAGCGUUGUUCGGAUUUACUGGGCGUAAAGCGCGCGCAGGUGGGUGAACAAGUCGGAAGUGAAAUCUUGAGGCUCAACCUCGAGGCUGCUCCCGAAACUGUUCGCCUAGGGACUGGUAGAGGCUGGUAGAAUUCCCGGUGUAGCGGUGGAAUGCGUAGAGAUCGGGAGGAAUACCUGUGGCGAAGGCGGCCAGCUGGGCCAGAUCCGACACUGAGGCGCGAAAGCGUGGGGAGCAAACAGG
rnacentral:rRNA from 1 species